rnacentral:lncRNA from 1 species
AUAAAUAUACAGCAUUUUCCAGACAUAUUUCUUCUUUUCAUAUGGUGUCAAACCCUGUAUAAUGCAAAAUAUAAUUCAAUAUUCAGGGGCAACAUCUAUGUUAAUUUAACAUACGAUGAGGCAGGUCUAUGGGUGAUGAUUUUAGGAGGAAAAAAAAGAUGAUUUUUUUAUAAGAAGCAAACAUGGGAAAGCAGUGAACAAAUAUGGAAGGAUCUGGUCCCUGAUGACAAAGCAUAGUUUGCAAGACUUAUGGUGAACUGAAUAAAAAGUCAACAGAGAGAACAAGAAAGGGGGAAACAAAGAAAACGAGCGACAGAUAGAAAGAUAAAGAGGGGGGAGAGAGAUAAAGAAAAAAGAAUCUAUAUUCCGAAACUUUUUUAACUGUAGCCUGAAUGCAUUUAAAGUGCAACACAUUCAACUUCUGCGCAGAUGAUACAAUGUUAAUGCAAAUAUUGAAUAUAAAUUGCCCCUAUUACAGAAAAAAAAAUUGAUGCCAAAAAAACAAAUGCACCUAUUUCUGCAACACUUCUACCUCAAGUUCAUUCUUUCUUAAAACAUAGAAAGGCUGCAAACUGCCAAGUAGACAGCACGCAAGAAAUCCAAAAAUGACAUGAGCUACUUUCAUAACCGUCCGAGAAGCUUAGAACACACUAAAGGCUGUUUCAAAGUUCCAUCAAGGAAAUAGUUAUGGCGGUGACAACUAAUGGUUAGAGAGAACUAGCACUGAUGUCACUGAUAGUUGUUAGCAACGGAAGUUGGUAAAGGAUAGAUAACAAGCUAUUAUAGAUGGCUAGACAGGACAGAGAGACUACUCAAUCAUUGAUAUUUCUAUAAGUAAAAUAUUUCAGGAUCAGGAGAAAGACGUUGACACUUCAUUAGCUCCUAUGCAUCUUUGCUAAACGAGUACCUCCCAAUAGUUCUAGGUUCAUUGAAGAAAAAGGCUCAUAUGAACUUGACUUGUUUUGAAAAUCCAUGAAAAGGAGUUCAUGUUUCAUUAGAUUUGUUAAAUAAAGUCUCUCUACAGUCUUUCACAAGAGAAGGUGAUAACUGAUAAGCUCUAGCAAACACGGUCUCCCAGAGAAACUCUUCUCUUGAAUCCAACCAUUACUUGCAUGAGUUGCAGUGAAACCAUUCUUCAUUUAUCUUUGCUUGGUCUCUUUUUUAAUUGUUAUUUAUCUUAGCAUGGUUUUAAUACCAUAUUUCCGGGAAUUAGAACGAAAUUGAUGAUACUCUAUCCUUGUGCAGUUUCUUUUGCAUACUGUCUUUAGAAUGAUUCAGGUCUACCAAUGACUCUGGAUAGUCCAGCUUUUUACAAAUUUCAGGGAUUUCAAGAUUAGAAGGGUGGUGUAUCUGCCAAUUCUGUGUGUAUUUGGAUAGUUUGCCAUAUCAGAAUGUUGAAGAUCAUCACUUAACUUAUGAUAUUGUUUAAGUCAACUUUUCCAAUUUGCAUACAAAGUGGAAACAUUUAUUAGGGAAGCUUCACGCUUGACUACACAAAAUUUAGGACAACAUCAAUAAAACAUCUCUCAAAUAGCAUACUCUCGAUUUCAUCAUAGAAACUUUUAUAUUUUCAUAGAAAAAUGUUUUGUUAGUUUUGAAUAUGAAUGUAGCUGGUAAGAAAGAAAUGAUUGUCAUAUUCAUUUGAGGUACAUAUUCCCCCCUAUGGAGAUGUUUUGGAUAGGAUGGAAAGCAGUGGCCCUAGUCUCUUCUUGCUUGAAAAGGAAUUUUGUUUGCGAUGAUAGUAAUACUAGUUUUAUUUCAUGGUUCACAAUAAAAAAACUCCAGCAAAAUACUGAGACAAAGAAACGAGACAAACAUAGUGAAUUUAGGUGGCCAGUAAGAGGAAGCUUCCAGUAUAUUCUUCAAUUCCUGUUAUUUUGGGGAUGACGGGGUCAGAGAAGACGUCAUUAUAAGGAUUGCAGCCUGGUUAUCAGGUAUUUUAAGGAUAAAAAUAAAAUAAAAAAUUUAAUAACAUCUGUAUCAGGAAUACAUUUUGACAUUUACCCCCAAGGAAAUUGAAUGUUACACUACUUACAAUUGACUGAGUUAAUCAUUAUAAAUAUGUUAAUGUUUUAGCCUUGUUAUAACUGAGCAGCUUAGGGAAGAGCAUCAAGUACCUGUCAGUUCAUAAUGCGUCUAAACUACUAUCAGGUAUUUUAAGGAUAAAAAUAAAAUAAAAAAUUUAAUAACAUCUGUAUCAGGAAUACAUUUUGACAUUUACCCCCAAGGAAAUUGAAUGUUACACUACUUACAAUUGACUGAGUUAAUCAUUAUAAAUAUGUUAAUGUUUUAGCCUUGUUAUAACUGAGCAGCUUAGGGAAGAGCAUCAAGUACCGGUCAGUUCAUAAUGCGUCUAAACUACAAUAAAUAUAAUUUCUGCUCCUCCCUUCUAUAGUAGAUCACUAUAAAAUUCGUGUUAACAUUGAUAGUCUGGAGAAGAAAGACCUUCCUCCCUCUCACCAAAUCCCCUUUUGAACAAGAGAAGAAAUAACUGAGAUUUCACUUUAUCAUCAGCUGCCAUUGAAGGAUAGUCCAACUCCAUUCAAAUGACUCCUUCCCCCUUUCACCUCACCCCACUUAAUAGCAACUUAAGGAAAAUGACAUGGACAAAGCUUCACAAGACAACCAAUUUCUGACCAUUCUACAUCUUUCUUUGUUUAUUGGUCUUCUUAUUUUUAAUAAUUGAGAAAUCUCCGAGGGCCAAUUGACGCAUGGUCGGAAACUCAGUGGAUAAUGGGCUCGCCAUCUACCCUUCCCUACUUAAGUACCAGGUUUUUGUUUGCAGCGGUAAUGCUUGACAUGCAUCUAACACACAUACAUAGCCACACUCUUUUGUUUUUUGAUCUAAUAACUUUCAGGAUAAAAAAUGAAGCAAAGAAACAAAGGCAACCUAUCCUGAAUACUAACAUGCUAAUUGCACCUAACAAGAGCAUCACCUUGCAUCAAAGGGAUUGUAGAAAAAGAAGUUGAUAUAAUCCUGGUUGUAAGGCGUAUAUGCUUCCAAAUUAAUUUUCAGAAUAUCCUAGUAAAAGCUUAAUAUUUCUAAAACCAGUCAUACCAUCAGCAACCACAAAUCAUUUCGAUCGUACUUCAAAACAACUGAGCAUCCCUUUGGAAUACCAUAUUUACCUCAUUUCCAGGUAUUACCUGAUACAACACAUAAAGAAUUCAGAUUUCACAAUAGCUUAUGUAAGAAAGUAUAUCUUUGUCUUACCAGCCUUGGGCAAAGUAAUAGUUCGGGUACACUUCCUUGGGGAGAGCUGCCACAACAUGUUACCGCCAUUUCAAAUGUGAUAUCAGGUACAUAAAUGGAUAUCAGUUAGAUUGGCAUAGCCAAAAGGUCCUCCUCCCUUCAGCACUCUAGGUGUGAGUUGCACUAACUGCCACUAAGUGCUUUUUUACGGGCUUAAUUUUUGGUAUACACCAUCGACAACUUGCUGUUUUAUUUACUACUAUUCAACUUAUGACCAAGUGAAAACCCCUUAUUUGACAUAUCCCCCAACAGUAGCUAACAGACCUUUAAAUAUAUGCCACCUUCAAACUGCUAUCUCUCUUUUAGAAACCAGACCCCACAUUGUUUGUCUAAAAACGUACUUCCAUCCCAAUUUAUGACAUUCUUUCCUUUUCGAAAUGUCACAAAUGUUUGACACUAUAUCUUUUUAUUGCUAAUUUGACACUGUCAGUAAACUAUUCAAAUAUUAAACUUUGAUUUUAUGUUUUCUCUAUUGAAUAAACUAAUCAACCAUUAUUUUAGUAUUCCAUUCUACUAUCACUAAUAAAUCUAUAUGUCAAAUUAAUAUCUUAAACUCUAUACUCAGCUAAAUACAUCACAUAAAAUGAACCAAGAGAGUAGCAUAAGCAUCUAACUUUUUUCUCUUUUAUUGCGUGCAAAUCUAUCUUCUUGUGUCAAGGGUCUAUCAGAAACGGCCUCUGUACUCUUCCGGAAAAGGAAUAAGCUCUGCGUACACACUACCCUACCCAGACCCCACUUGUGUGAUUUCACUAGGUGGUUGUUGUUGUUUGGGUGCAAAUCUAAUUGGUUUCCAAACUGAGUUACCCUAUCAGUUUCUCACAAUAUAUUAAACUAUGUGGUUAAACAUCCUUUCAAUGACAAGAAUCUGUUUAAUUACGGCAAGUUACUCUUUUUUUCCUUAUAGCCAACUUGCAUACAACUCCACUAAUUAUACAUGUGGAAAGAAAUAACCUAGUGCUUACUUAACUAACAGUUAAAACCAUCACUAUAGCACGUCCAACAUAACCCUAGCAUAAUGCAGAAAAAGCAGGAACUCAAUUACUCUUCACUGACGUAAAAUUCAAGGUUGAAAUUUUGCAUUUCCUAAUAAACCAUAUCACAGACAUUAGCUAACAGAGUUGUAAUUGCAAAAAAAAGUGAAAACCUUUUCGUUUUUAAAGCGAGUACGAAUAUUGCCGAGCUCUUUAUCGACACGAAGACGUUCCUGUUCUUUGUUCUGGCAAUUACGAAUGUCGCUUAUGAACACCGACAAUCCUCUCAUUCCAGAUAACGCCAUUUCCGUUCAGAUCCAGCCGAUAAGGUCCUUUCACUCUGUCGUUUCCUUUGAUCCGACGGUCCACAAAGAAAGAUCGAGGUUCAGAUCACGAACGGUAUUGGCGGCUCUAGAGGUCUGCUCACUCCCUCAUUUUCUUUGAUCCGACGAAGAAAGAUCGAGGUUCAGAUUACGAACGGUAAUGGCGGCUCUACGUGUUUUGCGCACGAAAUGUAUAGAUAUAUAGAUGUGUAUCAGUGUAUGUAUAUGGAGAGA